CUCUUCCCUUUCCCAGGCGUGUGAAAGUCGCCAGUAUGCACCGUGUGAAUCUAGCAUUGUGAACACAUCCUGGGCGCUGUUGGCACUCAUGGCUGCUAAAUACGAAGACAUCGACUUGCUCAAAGCAGGUGUCCAGCUACUACUCUCUCGCCAGCUGGAGAAUGGUGAUUGGCCAGAGGAAUCGAUCAAGGGUGUCUUCAACAAGACCUGCGCCAUCCAGUACGCCAGCUACAAGAACGUUUUCCCCAUCUGGGCGCUGGGCAGGUUCCGCCGCUUGUUCCCCGGCGUCAGCGUGUAACCAUGACGAUCAGGUCGCGACACGGUCGGUGGGAAGAUCGCAUGCAUCUCAGGAUGCUAACGAGAUCUGUUGUAGGAAUGUUCAAUUUUUUUAAAGUAUAAUCACUUCGAACACAGUGGUGCGCUUAUGGUAUUGUCUCAAUCUUAGCUCACUAUUCACAGUUCGGGGGAAUCCCCUGCUAGUCAGCAAUGCGGCGCGGUUUAUGCUCCGUUGACUCUAUGUACUUUUGAAGGACUUUGAAAAUUUAUAUUUUUUGUAUUAUUUAUAAUAAUAUACACUGUAUUUUUGUAGCAUUACUAUGGGUUACAUUAGGAUCUACAUUAGGAUGUAGGCAACGUGGUCAGAGUACUCGGAUGACGCGAAGGCUGAUCGUAGUGCACAGUACACUUUCUGUGCAUUAUCAUCAUGGUACCGAUAGGUGGUAGGGUAGGUGUGCGGGGAAGUUUAGCAGCAUGUUUAGUUUGUUUAAAAAAAUUUAUCCUGUCAGUCGUAUUUUACCGGGUGUUAUAGCGACCGGCGUGAGUUCCCUUCGGGAACGGACACGAUAAUUACUUUUUUUCUUUCUUUUUAUAUCGGUCGUAUCUGUCGCAACUAUGGCAAUUUUAUCUUGCGUAUUUCAAAAUUUUCUAAGGAUUAUCCAUAUAAUUAUCUGCUCAUUCAUUAGCAGUUGCUAGAUCGCCACCAGGUGAAGUUGUUCAUGGUUAUGGAGAUGAUGUCAUGGCAAACGUGUGGUUAUUAGGCUUGUCCACAAAAUGUUUUCAAAUAUUUUUGAAUUUUGGUUGGAUUUUCGCACUUUGAAUUUUUUUGGAAUUUUGGCCCCAUCAGGAUUGAA